AACAACAUUUAUUAAUACAAUGUGUAAGUUGGGUUUUUAAUGCAAUUUCGCAAUGCCUAUAUAUGAGCCAACCUUACGAAGGGAAAUUAUGCAAAGAGAAACAUGCAUAUCUUUCAACCCACCCCAAAGCACAAUUCUUUCAGGCAUUCUGAGUUAAAUUACCAGGUUGGACUAUACUCUGCAAGGCCUCUAAGUUACUCUUCAAAAUGUUUAAAUGCGGGAUUUAAGUGCAACUACAUGACCUCUGAUAUUUUGAUGAAGCAAUCAGAUGAAAAAGAAUAGGAAUAGCAAUCAAUGAGGAUUAGUGGCGGCAUGAUGAAACACGGAGGCAAUAUGUUUGUAUUUACUACGUAUCUUUCUAUGCGCAGAGCAAGACGCGCAGUUUUUUUUUUUUUCUUCUUCUCCGGAAAUAGCUCCUGUGAAGGUCGAAUGAUGCAACAAGGAAAUUGACGUCUCAGCAAUCGAUGUUUCUGGAGUCGGACAUGCUG